rnacentral:rRNA from 1 species
CGUAGGGUGCAAGCGUUAAUCGGAAUUACUGGGCGUAAAGCGUGCGCAGGCGGUUAUGUAAGACAGUUGUGAAAUCCCCGGGCUCAACCUGGGAAUUGCAUUUGUGACUGCAUAGCUAGAGUACGGUAGAGGGGGAUGGAAUUCCGCGUGUAGCAGUGAAAUGCGUAGAUAUGCGGAGGAACACCGAUGGCGAAGGCAAUCCCCUGGACCUGUACUGACGCUCAUGCACGAAAGCGUGGGGAGCAAACAGGAUUAGAUACCCUGGUAGUCCACGCCCUAAACGAUGUCAACUGGUUGUUGGGUCUUUACUGACUCAGUAACGAAGCUAACGCGUGAAGUUGACCGCCUGGGGAGUACGGCCGCAAGGUUG